UACGUAGGGGGCAAGCGUUGUCCGGAUUUAUUGGGCGUAAAGAGCGUGUAGGCGGCUGGGUAGGUCCGCUGUGAAAACUCGAGGCUUAACCUCGAGACGUCGGUGGAAACCAUCCAGCUAGAGUCCGGAAGAGGAGAGUGGAAUUCCUGGUGUAGCGGUGAAAUGCGCAGAUAUCAGGAAGAACACCCGUGGCGAAAGCGGCUCUCUGGGACGGUACUGACACUGAGGAGCGAAAGCGUGGGGAGCGAUCCGG
rnacentral:rRNA from 1 species